rnacentral:rRNA from 1 species
GAGUUUGAUCCUGGCUCAGGAUGAACGCUAGCGGGAGGCUUAAUACAUGCAAGUCGAACGGCAGCAUGGGACUUCGGUCCUGAUGGCGAGUGGCGCACGGGUGAGUAACGCGUACACGACCUACCUUUAAGAGGGGGACAUACACUGAAAAACGGAGUAAAUACCCCAUGUGAUUGAUAUUAUAAGACGAGAUCAAUUAAAGCUUCGGCGCUUAAAGAUGGGUGUGCGUACUAUUAGGUAGUUGGUGAGGUAACGGCUCACCAAGCCGACGAUAGUUAGGGGGCGUGAGAGCGUGACCCCCCACACGGGUACUGAGACACGGACCCGACUCCUACGGGAGGCAGCAGUAAGGAAUAUUGGACAAUGGGCGAGAGCCUGAUCCAGCCAUCCCGCGUGCAGGAUGACAGCCCUCUGGGUUGUAAACUGCUUUUAUAUAAGAAGAACGGCAGAGAUUUAUCUUUGUAUGACGGUACUAUAUGAAUAAGCACCGGCUAACUCCGUGCCAGCAGCCGCGGUAAUACGGAGGGUGCAAGCGUUAUCCGGAAUCACUGGGUUUAAAGGGUGCGUAGCGGCUAUAUAAGUCAGGAGUGAAAUGCCCGAGCUUAACUGGGGACGUGCUUUUGAUACUGUAUAGCUUGAAUUAGGUUGAGGUUGGCGGAAUGAGUCAUGUAGCG